GCCAAUGUGAUGUAGUGGUUUAAGUGUUGGACUAUAACUCCGGAGAGCAGGGUCCGAAUCCCUGCUCAGCCA